rnacentral:rRNA from 1 species
GUGGGGAAUUUUGGACAAUGGGGGCAACCCUGAUCCAGCAAUGCCGCGUGCAGGAAGAAGGCCUUCGGGUUGUAAACUGCUUUUGUACGGAACGAAACGGUCCUGGUUAAUACCUGGGGCUAAUGACGGUACCGUAAGAAUAAGCACCGGCUAACUACGUGCCAGCAGCCGCGGUAAUACGUAGGGUGCAAGCGUUAAUCGGAAUUACUGGGCGUAAAGCGUGCGCAGGCGGUUUUGUAAGACAGGCGUGAAAUCCCCGGGCUCAACCUGGGAAUGGCGGUUGUGACUGCAAGGCUGGAGUGCGGCAGAGGGGGAUGGAAUUCCGCGUGUAGCAGUGAAAUGCGUAGAUAUGCGGAGGAACACCGAUGGCGAAGGCAAUCCCCUGGGCCUGCACUGACGCUCAUGCACGAAAGCGUGGGGAGCAAACAGGAUUAGAUACCCCGGUAGUCC